CCGCUACCACGCAAGUGGAUGCCAAUCCCCAAAACCUCUCUCAGUUCGGAUUGAAGUCUGCAACCCGACUUCAUGAAGCUGGAUUCGCUAGUAAUCGCGCAUCAGCCACGGCGCGGUGAAUACGUUCCCGGGCCUUGUACACACCGCCCGUCAAGCCAUGGGAGCCGGGGGUACCUGAAGUGCGUAACCGCAAGGAGCGCCCUAGGGUAAAACUGGUGACUGGGGCUAAGUCGUAACAAGGUACC
rnacentral:rRNA from 1 species